UACAGAGGGGGCAAGCGUUGUUCGGAAUUACUGGGCGUAAAGGGCGCGUAGGCGGCCUUCUAAGUCGAACGUGAAAUCCCCGGGCUCAACCCGGGAACUGCGUCCGAUACUGGAAGGCUUGAAUCCGGGAGAGGGAUGCGGAAUUCCAGGUGUAGCGGUGAAAUGCGCAGAUAUCAGGAGGAACACCGGUGGCGAAGGCGGGACUCUGGGCCGAUACUGACGCUGAGGAGCGAAAGCGUGGGGAGCGAACAGG
rnacentral:rRNA from 1 species